AGUUAAACAGUACGUGAAAUUGUUGAAAGGGAAACGAUUGAAGUCAGUCAUACCAACGGGAAAUCAACCUUUUGAGUUUGGUCUCGUGGGUUUUGAAGAGUUUUAAAAGCCUUCGGAUUUUCGAGAUUGGGUUCUUCUGGUGUACUUUCUCGUACGGUUAGUCAACAUCGGUUUUGAAUGUCAUAAAAUGACUGGAGGAAUGUGGCUUCGAUCUCGUAUUGAAGUGUUAUAGCCUUUGGUAGAUGUGAUGUUCGAGACCGAGGAUUGCAACGGAUACCCUUCUGGGCUAUUCGUCUGAUCUCUGAAACGUUGCCUUGAUGUCGAAAGCUUGCUUAUGAUGUUAGGGUAUUACGAUCAAAAGGUUAGAACGGAUUAAAUUCGUUAAGGAUGUUGACGAAAUGACUUUAAA
rnacentral:misc_RNA from 1 species